UCUAUACAUGACUCUGCGCAUAUCAAUAAGCGGAGGAAAAGAAACUAACAAGGAUUCCCCUAGUAACGGCGAGUGAAGCGGGAAGAGCUCAAAUUUGAAAUCUUAAAGGUUUUCCCUUGACGAAUUGUAGUUUAAAGAAGUGUUUUCUGUUGAAGGUUUUGGUAAAAGUUCUUUGGAAUAGGACAUCAUAGAGGGUGAGAAUCCCGUAUUUGACCAUUUACUUUCAGCUUUGUGAUACACUUUCAAAGAGUCGGAUUGUUUGGGAAUGCAGUCCAAAAUGGGUGGUAAAUUUCAUCUAAAGCUAAAUAUUGGCGAGAGACCGAUAGCGAACAAGUACCGUGAGGGAAAGAUGAAAAGAACUUUGAAAAGAGAGUUAAACAGUACGUGAAAUUGUCAAAAGGGAAGCGUUUGACACCAGUGUUGUUUUUCUGAAAAUCAAUUAAAGAACUGUUUAUGCUAAGUUGUUUAGACUUUAUCAGCUAAUCUGUUUAGUUUUGAGCUUCUCUUUAAUGCACUUUUCAGUUAACAAGUCAACAUCAAUUUCUUUUGCUGUAAAAAAGCUUGAGGAAGGUGGCUUGAGAUUCGUCUUAAGUGUUUAUAGCCUCUUGCCUAUGCAGUCGGAGAGAUUGAGGUCUGCAGCGUAGAUCCUUCGGGGCUAGAUACAUUUGUGCUAAGUUAUAGCAUUUUAUAGACAACUUGUUGACUAUGAUUUGUCUUGUAGCUUACUCGCUUAUGUUAUUUUACCUACGCUUAGGAUGUUGACAGCAGUAUAGACUGU
rnacentral:rRNA from 1 species